rnacentral:rRNA from 1 species
GACGAACGCUGGCGGCGUGCCUAAUACAUGCAAGUAGAACGCUGAAGAGAGGAGCUUGCUCUUCUUGGAUGAGUUGCGAACGGGUGAGUAACGCGUAGGUAACCUGCCUUGUAGCGGGGGAUAACUAUUGGAAACGAUAGCUAAUACCGCAUAACAAUGGAUGACACAUGUCAUUUAUUUGAAAGGGGCAAUUGCUCCACUACAAGAUGGACCUGCGUUGUAUUAGCUAGUAGGUGAGGUAACGGCUCACCUAGGCGACGAUACAUAGCCGACCUGAGAGGGCGAUCGGCCACACUGGGACUGAGACACGGCCCAGACUCCUACGGGAGGCAGCAGUAGGGAAUCUUCGGCAAUGGGGGCAACCCUGACCGAGCAACGCCGCGUGAGUGAAGAAGGUUUUCGGAUCGUAAAGCUCUGUUGUAAGUCAAGAACGAGUGUGAGAGUGGAAAAUUCACACUGUGACGGUAGCUUACCAGAAAGGGACGGCUAACUACGUGCCAGCAGCCGCGGUAAUACGUAGGUCCCGAGCGUUGUCCGGAUUUAUUGGGCGUAAAGCGAGCGCAGGCGGUUUGAUAAGUCUGAAGUUAAAGGCUGUGGCUCAACCAUAGCUCGCUUUGGAAACUGUCAAACUUGAGUGCAGAAGGGGAGAGUGGAAUUCCAUGUGUAGCGGUGAAAUGCGUAGAUAUAUGGAGGAACACCGGUGGCGAAAGCGGCUCUCUGGUCUGUAACUGACGCUGAGGCUCGAAAGCGUGGGGAGCGAACAGGAUUAGAUACCCUGGUAGUCCACGCCGUAAACGAUGAGUGCUAGGUGUUGGAUCCUUUCCGGGAUUCAGUGCCGCAGCUAACGCAUUAAGCACUCCGCCUGGGGAGUACGACCGCAAGGUUGAAACUCAAAGGAAUUGACGGGGGCCCGCACAAGCGGUGGAGCAUGUGGUUUAAUUCGAAGCAACGCGAAGAACCUUACCAGGUCUUGACAUCCCGAUGCUAUUUCUAGAGAUAGAAAGUUACUUCGGUACAUCGGUGACAGGUGGUGCAUGGUUGUCGUCAGCUCGUGUCGUGAGAUGUUGGGUUAAGUCCCGCAACGAGCGCAACCCCUAUUGUUAGUUGCCAUCAUUCAGUUGGGCACUCUAGCGAGACUGCCGGUAAUAAACCGGAGGAAGGUGGGGAUGACGUCAAAUCAUCAUGCCCCUUAUGACCUGGGCUACACACGUGCUACAAUGGUUGGUACAACGAGUUGCGAGUCGGUGACGGCAAGCUAAUCUCUUAAAGCCAAUCUCAGUUCGGAUUGUAGGCUGCAACUCGCCUACAUGAAGUCGGAAUCGCUAGUAAUCGCGGAUCAGCACGCCGCGGUGAAUACGUUCCCGGGCCU